AUGAUGGAAACAAAUCAUACUAAUAGUAAUGUCCUCUCCCCGCAUACGACUCAGAUAUCAUUCCAAUGUGGAGCUCCAGAGGAUACUGGAAGUGGUAACAUAAGGGAUCCAGAAUGUGUGAAAAGAAAAGGUGCCCCAAAGAAACUUCGGAAGAAGAGCCCAUUGGAAACCAUUUCGAGCAAAGUUAAGUACGGGUUCUACCAAACGGAAGAAAACGAAGGUUCCUAGAAGUGAUAUGGGAAUGGUUUCAGUGCCCAUUCUCCAGUCGCCUCAACAACUACACAUGCCGCUACCGUUCUCCUAUACGAACCUCCUUUUGGUUAGCAUUUGUUAAUGAUUUGACUUCAAUGAUAAUGUAGUAUUUACUGAUAAUGCUAUUUCACGCAGGGUGGGAACCAAAAUCUUCAGUUCACACAUCACUUGCAAUCCACGUGUCUAAACCCUUCAUUGGCAACAACUCCUACAUUAAAUAUGCAAGGUUUGGGAAUGCAUUUUGAUGGAGGAAACACGGAUGCACCUACGGAGGAACCAUGAUGAAAUAACUGGUCCUUACAAGGACGACCCAUCACCUACUUCUUUUGUCCCUGGUGCAGCAUAUCAUGUUCUCCUUGAAGCUUUUGGAAGAAAGGGUUAUCUUGCUGGAACCCCAGAUGAA